UUACCGAGUUUUCGGGCUUCGGCUCGACUCUCCCACCCUUUGUGAACGUACCUCUGUUGCUUUGGCGGCUCCGGCCGCCAAAGGACCUCCAAACUCCAGUCAGUAAACGCAGACGUCUGAUAAACAAGUUAAUAAACUAAAACUUUCAACAACGGAUCUCUUGGUUCUGGCAUCGAUGAAGAACGCAGCGAAAUGCGAUAAGUAAUGUGAAUUGCAGAAUUCAGUGAAUCAUCGAAUCUUUGAACGCACAUUGCGCCCCUUGGUAUUCCGGGGGGCAUGCCUGUUCGAGCGUCAUUACAACCCUCAAGCUCUGCUUGGAAUUGGGCACCGUCCUCACUGCGGACGCGCCUCAAAGACCUCGGCGGUGGCUGUUCAGCCCUCAAGCGUAGUAGAAUACACCUCGCUUUGGAGUGGUUGGCGUCGCCCGCCGGACGAACCUUCUGAACUUUUCUCAAGGUUGACCUCGGAUCAGGUAGGAAUACCCG
rnacentral:rRNA from 1 species